rnacentral:rRNA from 1 species
AGAUUGAACGCUGGCGGCAGGCCUAACACAUGCAAGUCGAGCGGCAGCACGGGUACUUGUACCUGGUGGCGAGCGGCGGACGGGUGAGUAAUGCCUAGGAAUCUGCCUGAUAGUGGGGGAUAACGCUCGGAAACGGACGCUAAUACCGCAUACGUCCUACGGGAGAAAGCAGGGGACCUUCGGGCCUUGCGCUAUCAGACGAGCCUAGGUCGGAUUAGCUAGUUGGUGGGGUAAUGGCUCACCAAGGCGACGAUCCGUAACUGGUCUGAGAGGAUGAUCAGUCAUACUGGAACUGAGACACGGGUCCAGACUCCUACGGGAGGCAGCAGUGGGGAAUAGUUGGACAAGUGGGCGAAAGCCUGACUCCAGCCAUCGCCG